rnacentral:rRNA from 1 species
UUGGAGGGCAAGUCUGGUGCCAGCAGCCGCGGUAAUUCCAGCUCCAAUAGCGUAUAUUAAAGUUGUUGCAGUUAAAAAGCUCGUAGUUGAAUUUCGGGGUUAGUAGGUUGGUCAUGCCUCUGGUAUGUACUGGUCUCACUGAUUCCUCCUUCCUGAUGAGCCGUAAUGCCAUUAAUUUGGUGUUGCGGGGAAUUUGGACUGUUACUUUGAAAAAAUUAGAGUGUUUAAAGCAAGCUAACGCUUGAAUACAUUAGCAUGGAAUAAUGAAAUAGGACGUUCGAUCCUAUUUUGUUGGUUUCUAGGAUUGACGUAAUGAUUAAUAGGGAUAGUUGGGGGCAUUAGUAUUCAAUUGUCAGAGGUGAAAUUCUUGGAUUUAUUGAAGACUAACUACUGCGAAAGCAUUUGCCAAGGAUGUUUUCAUUAAUCGAGAACGAAAGUUAGGGGAUCGAAGACGAUCAGAUACCGUCGUAGUCUUAGCCAUAAACUAUGCCGACUAGGGAUCGGAUGAUGUUAAUUUUCUAAUGACUCAUUCGGCGCCUUACGGGAAACCAAAGUGUUUGGGUUC